AAAUUUGAUAACAGUGAAAGUACGGUGAGAACUUGCUAGGGCACAACGUAAACAAAGAAAGAAAGAAAAGAAAGGACAGCUGGCAAUGUGAAAAAUGACCUAAUGUGAUUGACCAAUCAAUGAACAAUUUGUCUAAUGCCGAAAAUUACUUAUUUUCUUUAGUUUGGCGUUCAGGAGACGGGAUCUCUGCGUCCGACUUGGCCAGGAAGUCCGUCGAAGCGGUGCCCAUGUGCGCGUGCGAGAAGCCAGCACUGCAGGAGGAGCAGGACGUUUCGGCGUCUCGGUCCGAGCAGCUCUACUUGCCGUCGCCUUUCGGUCCCCGGAUGCUGCCGUGCCACUUCGCUGACGUCACCGACGGAACACUCGUCGACGCGGGAACACUACCUCGGUGCCUUCCGACCGUUCACGAAGACAUCGAGCUGGACGCGGGGAACUGCGAAAAGCGGUCCGCGUAUGACGUGCCUUUCGCGCCCAGAGAUUCAGUGCAAAAGCUAGCGGAACGUGAUGACCUUCUUGCUUCGGCGGAGCGUCUGACUACGGCGAAACAAGAUUUCUCACUAGCGCAACGCACCAGUCAAGACCAUGGAAGCACUGAAUCCGAGCCGAGCAACUAGCCGUGAGGUUUUUAGCAAUCAAUAAAACCUCGUGCAUCCACGUCCCGUGUCCCCUCUUUUUUAUGCCGUGAGAAACGGGGUCGUACUUUUGACGACAAAGGUGUUCGAAUAAUAGUUGCCCAACUCGUGCAAAGUCUCCCGAGGGCAGCUCUUACUGGACCAAGUGUGA